rnacentral:rRNA from 1 species
GACGAACGCUGACGGCGUGCCUAACACAUGCAAGUCGAACGGAAAGGCCCUGCUUUUGUGGGGUGCUCGAGUGGCGAACGGGUGAGUAACACGUGAGUAACCUGCCCUUGACUUUGGGAUAACUUCAGGAAACUGGGGCUAAUACCGGAUAGGAGCUCCUGCUGCAUGGUGGGGGUUGGAAAGUUUCGGCGGUUGGGGAUGGACUCGCGGCUUAUCAGCUUGUUGGUGGGGUAGUGGCUUACCAAGGCUUUGACGGGUAGCCGGCCUGAGAGGGUGACCGGCCACAUUGGGACUGAGAUACGGCCCAGACUCCUACGGGAGGCAGCAGUGGGGAAUAUUGCACAAUGGGCGGAAGCCUGAUGCAGCAACGCCGCGUGCGGGAUGACGGCCUUCGGGUUGUAAACCGCUUUCGCCUGUGACGAAGCGUGAGUGACGGUAAUGGGUAAAGAAGCACCGGCUAACUACGUG